rnacentral:lncRNA from 1 species
CACACACCGGUUCACCGGUCAAGUUCGUAUGCUCUGUGAUUCCUCUCGUGCGGUGUACCACGACGUUCUAGAAGUGUCCUCCAUUACUAAAUCUGUGUUCAGCACCCCGAAGGAGCAAUUGCAGUUGGAAGAAGAUUGACGAGCAGAAUACUUUCAAGCUUGAAUCUACGGUUUGACUUCCUCAGUUCUUCGCCUUUCGCCAAAAUUGAUCUCUCACAGUUAUUUCACGAGCAGUUGGAAGAAGAUUGACGAGCAGAAUACUUUCAAGCUUGAAUCUACGGUUUGACUUCCUCAGUUCUUCGCCUUUCGCCAAAAUUGAUCUCUCACAGUUAUUUCACGAGUUUCUGCGAGACUUUGGCAAGAUGCUGAUACUCGCAGCUCUAUCAAUGUUGCUGACGAUUUUAUUGAUCGGCAUCUGGUUUUGGCUUGCGCUCGUAUACCUGUACGAACUGGUGGUCUUUAUCCUUACCUUGUUGAAAUCGCUGGUCGUCAAGUAUAAAAGCAACAUCAUGGUAGGGGUGAUAGCCGUGAUCAUAACCUACUUUCCGGUACUCAUUUUCAUGGCGGUGGUCGUGAUCAGCGUUGAACUCUGUAUUCAGUUCUUAGUCUACGUGUAUAUUAAGGCAUGCAGCUUUUGGUACGGAUAAAAUAUUCCAAAAUGCUAUACAAUAUACAUUAAUGAAUUAUUGCAUAUCCUUUAUUCUUGCUGUUAUGAGAGUUAUCAUGUUUGAGUAAAAUAGUUAUUAAAAUCUUAUGCAAGGGAAUGUGAUAAAGUCCAAAAUUACAGUUGAGAAUAGUGAUACAAACUUCAAAUUGAAAACAGACUGUUAUGUUAUUUAUGUAUUAUUUAUGUUAGUUAUGUGUAUAGUAUACAGUUGUUAACUUAAAUUUUCAACAUGAACAUUUACGAGUAAGCAGUUUUCACUUAAUUAUCGUAUUUACUAACUACUGUACAGUUGUUUGAUUUAUAGCAAGGCUUGGAAGAAAAUAAGAUAUAGUGAAAAUAUUAAGUUUUCAACUGGUGAUGCGUAAAUGGAGUACAACAAUUUGAAAUUUCGAAUUCUACUGAAAAUUGAACUAGAAUUUUGUUAUCAACUUUACAGCAAAACGUACUGAUUGAAAUGUGAAUAUAAAAUUGUAGUUAACUACGAGUAUAUAUAUGUAUUGGAUUUAUACACAUUAGGUUAAACAUUAUAACGUUAGUUCCCUCUAUAGUGCAGUUGUAUCAAUAUUUGAAUAUAUUCACUAUCACUAAAAAUAGAUUCUGCUUAAAACGUCUUAAAUAAUCUGAUGAAUGUCAGCCAAUAGAGUCCUUGCAACUGUCUAUUUUAUACAUAUUAUCUAUAAUAUUAUUACAUUAAAUACAUGAGGUUAUGUGUUAUUUAAAUAUUAUAUUGAUAGACCUAUAAAAGGUAUUUACUUGUAUUUCCUAUUUACAUUUACUUUGUUAUGGAGCAGUAGUUUAAUAUAUGUACGAGCAUAUGUAUUUAAUUUAUACACAAGAUGUUAAGUAAACAUUAUAACAUUGGUUCCUUCUACAGUGCAGCUAUACCAAUAUGUGAAGACAUUCUACUACCACUAAAAUACAGAUUUUGCCUAAAACGUCUUAAGUAGACUAAUGAAUAUGAAUAUGAAUACGAAACUCACGACUAUACCUUGCAACGGACUAUUUUAUAAAUUUUACUUACACUUUUUAAAAUUAAUUACAUCAUAGGUUAUAAUUUAUUUUUUAUUAUAUGCAUAAACCUAUACAAGGUAUUUAUUUGUAUUUGCUCUUUACAUUUACUUUGUAUGGAACAUUAGUUUAAGAGUUGUUCUGAGUAAAUUAUAUGUUUUGGUUCA